CCCUAACCUGGGACAGUGGUAUAACAGUACACCAUAAGAACGAACUAUAAAAAUCAGUUGAAUAAAGUGUUCUUUUGAAAUCUAAAAGGUUGUUUGUUUAUUUGACUUCUCUGAUUUUUUAAUCAUGCGCAUGUCUGAGAAAAGUCAUUCAAGAAAUAUAUGUCGUGUGUACAGAAAUCUAUUUAACACGUUUACAUUUUGUAAAAUGCAAAACAGAAAUGUGACCUGUCAGAUAUCGCAGGGUGGUCAAACCUAAAUGUUUCUAUCAAGUCUUUUCUACAUUCAUAUAGGCCAUUUACCUCAGGUUUGCGUUGGCACCAUUAAAUAAAAAAUACAAAUUUAGACAGUCUUUGAACAGUAUUAUAAAUUGAAGGUAAUUUUCUAAAAGGAAUAGUUGAACAAUGAAAAUUACGUGGGAUGAUUGAUACAAAGUUGCAACUACUGGAACCCGGAUACCUAAGUUGUAUUUCAAUGACUUCUUACGUACAACACUUUAUAUUCUGAAUACUGCUCGAGGGAUAACGGAUUUCUUUUUUGAAAGAUGCCUAUUAGGCUAAAGUAGAAUGAGUACACUCUAUACCAAAUUAAUGUACCUACAAAGACGACAUGAAAUCAUAACAAAAAGAACAAUACAGAGGGAAAGAAUUACUUGAUUGAUA
rnacentral:lncRNA from 1 species